GAAAUGCGAUAAGUAAUGUGAAUUGCAGAAUUCAGUGAAUCAUCGAAUCUUUGAACGCACAUUGCGCCCGCCAGUAUUCUGGCGGGCAUGCCUGUUCGAGCGUCAUUUCAAACCAUCAAGCCCCCGGGCUUGUGUUGGGGACCUGCGGCUAACCGCAGGCCCUGAAAACCAGUGGCGGGCCCGCCGCCGUGCCCGAGCGUAGUAGAUCUAUCCUCUAGCUCCGGGGCGUGGCGCGGGACCCGGCCGUUAAAGGGCGGUUGACAACCCCCAACAUGCCCAGGUUGACCUCGGAUCAGGUAGGAAUACCCGCUGAACUUAA
rnacentral:misc_RNA from 1 species